AUUUAUCGGAGGAAGAUGUGAGUGAAGAACCAAAGAGUCUGAACUAAUUGAACAGGUUGGGAAAAUGACAGACCCCUGCCUCUCCCGCUCGGGCUCCAUAACUCUGAACCCACCCGGUACUUCGAGGCCCAGGGCAGGCGUGGGCUGUGAAGACUGCGGCCUGUUUCUCCCCAGCAGUAACGGAAGUCCCACUGGGUCCACGCAGCGUUCAGUGGACAGCAGUUGAAAGUCAGCGGUGCCCGUGAGAAAGGACCUCGCUGCAGAGACUCCUCAUCAGCACACGCAGGUGCACGCAGCUGGAUUGAAGUGCAUUCCUUGUGUGGCAUGUUUGUCUGCUAAGGGUGGGGCAGGGGACAGCAGGUGGACAGAGCGCAGAUUGGAAUGCAGCAACGUGAGCUCCCACCAUCCUUCCCUCCUAAGAGAUGCUGAUCACGGACAGCAGACAGCCAGGCAGCCACUUGCCAGUCCCCCAGCCCCCAAGGU